AAACAGCCUCUGCCUCAGGUUGGGAGUUGCUGCCACGGAGACCACAAGAGUGGAGAUUUUCUGACACACGGCAAGGAAUGGAUUAUAGCUCCUUCUUAUGUAAAUUUCCAUGGAGGGGAAAAAAGAUUAAAAGGAAAAUAAUUCUGCUUUAGUCAUUUUCCUUUAAGGUAAUAAGAUCCUUUGAUCCCAUCGUGGAGAAGAAGGCAACAGCUGUUUGUCACAAAUGCUAUUUGAUGCACCUGCUAUUAUUACUCUUAUUACCAUUUUCCAGUGGGAAGCUGCUUCUUGGGCAGGGUGGAUUUCCAUCUGUGUCUCCUUUUCGGGGUCGAAAGCUGAUGGGAAAUGUGCCAACGUCACAACAAGGUCUGAGGGAGGCACAUCUCACGCACGGACAAGAAAACCCAAUCAUCAUGCUUAUGAACUACAAAAGGAUCUCCAGUAUGGGCUCACGGCAAUUGGCCCUUGAACAACAUGAAUUUGAACUGCCCGAGUCUGCUAAUAUGUGGAUUAUCUUCUGCUUCUGCCACCCCUGAGACCGCAAGACCAACCCUUCCUCUGCUUCUUUUCCUUAG